rnacentral:tRNA from 1 species
AAGGUCUGUGAAAUUCUAAUUCACAUCUCCUGAAUGCAACUCAAGCACUUUAAUUAAGCUAAAACCUC